UGCGCCCAGAGGAGCCGGGCGCGGCGCCCAGCUACAGCGACAGCUGGUCGGCCGACCUGGCCGCCGCCCUGGAGCGGGUCGACCACGGUCGCGGCGGUGAAGGCGCCACCGCGGCGACCAAGCCCAAGGGAAGAAAAGGCAAGAAGAGCAAGACCGUGCUGAUUUCUGGAGGCCUGAACUUCUGAGGGCGAACACCCUCAGCCGUCUGCCAGUCUAACCGAAUUCCGAUAAGGCGUGAAAAGGAAACCCCGUGGUGCUAAUGCAUGACCCUGGUUUGACGCUAAGCUGAGUAGCCUAAGUCCCGGACGCGAGUCGAAGCUGACCCGCGGAGUUUAAGUUUAAGACUAUCUGAGGUGGCUUAACUUCUCUGUGAGCUGAUCAAUGGCGAACGACUUUCUUUCAGGACUUUGGGUAGUUCAGUUCGAUGUAUACAGCUUUAGAGCUAUGUUCGUGAUUUCGCUAAAUUAGGCGCCCCACCGGGCAGGCAGGGCAUGUAUUCGUGGACGAAGCGCCCGCACAAUAUAUGACUAUGGAACC